rnacentral:rRNA from 1 species
CUUAGAGUUUGAUCCUGGCUCAGAACGUACGCUGGCGGCACGCCUAACACAUGCAAGUCGAACGAAGUAGCAAUACUUAGUGGCAGACGGGUGAGUAACAUGUAGGUAUCUGCCCUUUGGCCUGGAAUAACACGAGGAAACUUGUGCUAAUACCGGAUAAGUCUUUACGGAGAAAGCUUUAUGCACCAUUGGAUGAGCCUGCACUUGAUUAGUUUGUUGGUGGGGUAAUGGCCUACCAAGACUGUGAUCAAUAGCUGAUUUGAGAGGAUGAUCAGCCACAUUGGGACUGAGACACGGCCCAAACUCCUACGGGAGGCAGCAGUGGGGAAUCUUGCACAAUGGAGGAAACUCUGAUGCAGCGAUGCCGCGUGAGUGAAGAAGGCCCUUGGGUUGUAAAGCUCUUUCGUCGGGGAAGAAAAUGACUGUACCCGAAUAAGAAGGUCCGGCUAACUUCGUGCCAGCAGCCGCGGUAAUACGAAGGGACCUAGCGUAGUUCGGAAUUACUGGGCUUAAAGAGUUCGUAGGUGGUUGAAAAAGUUAGUGGUGAAAUCCCAGAGCUUAACUCUGGAACUGCCAUUAAAACUUUUCAGCUAGAGUAUGAUAGAGGAAAGCAGAAUUUCUAGUGUAGAGGUGAAAUUCGUAGAUAUUAGAAAGAAUACCAAUUGCGAAGGCAGCUUUCUGGAUCAUUACUGACACUGAGGAACGAAAGCAUGGGUAGCGAAGAGGAUUAGAUACCCUCGUAGUCCAUGCCGUAAACGAUGUGUGUUAGACGUUGGAAAUUUAUUUUCAGUGUCGCAGGGAAACCGAUAAACACACCGCCUGGGGAGUACGACCGCAAGGUUAAAACUCAAAUGAAUUGACGGGGACCCGCACAAGUAGUGGAGCAUGUGGUUUAAUUCGAAGAUACGCGCAGAACCUUACCAACACUUGACAUGUUCGUCGCGACUCUAAGAGAUUAGAGUUUUCGGUUCGGCCGGACGAAACACAGGUGCUGCAUGGCUGUCGUCAGCUCGCGUCGUGAGAUGUUGGGUUAAGUCCCGCAACGAGCGCAACCCUCACUUUUAGUUGCCAUCAUUAAGUUGGGCACUCUGAAAGAACUGCCAGUGAUAAGCUGGAGGAAGGUGGGGAUGACGUCAAGUCCUCAUGGCCCUUACGUGUUGGGCUACACACGUGCUACAAUGGUAUCUACAACAGGAAGCAAGACUGCGAAGUUAAGCAAAUCCCUAAAAGAUACCUCAGUUCGGAUUGCACUCUGCAACUCGAGUGCAUGAAGCUGGAAUUACUAGUAAUCGUGGAUCAGCGUGCCACGGUGAAUGCGUUCCCGGGUCUUGUACACACCGCCCGUCACACCAUGGGAGUUGGUUCUACCUUAAGGCAAGGUUUCAAACCCUUGACCACGGUAUAGUCAGCGACUGGGGUGAAGUCGUAACAAGGUAAC